rnacentral:rRNA from 1 species
AUACGUAGGGUGCAAGCGUUAAUCGGAAUUACUGGGCGUAAAGCGUGCGCAGGCGGUUUUGUAAGACAGAGGUGAAAUCCCCGGGCUCAACCUGGGAACUGCCUUUGUGACUGCAAGGCUAGAGUACGGCAGAGGGGGAUGGAAUUCCGCGUGUAGCAGUGAAAUGCGUAGAUAUGCGGAGGAACACCGAUGGCGAAGGCAAGCCCCUGGGCCUGUACGGGCGCUCAUGCACGAAAGCGUGGGGAGCAAACAGGAUUAGAUACCCUAGUAGUCCACGCCCUAAACGAUGUCAACUGAUUGUUGGGUCUUCAUUGACUCAGUAACGAAGCUAACGCGUGAAGUUGUCCGCCUGGGGAGUACGGCCGCAAGGUUGAAACUCAAAUGAAUUGACGGGG